GUAGGUGAACCUGCGGAAGGAUCAUUAAAUAAUUUAGAUGGCCUUUGCUAGUUUUCUAGCGAAUGGUUCAUUCUUUUUUACUGUGAACUGUUUUAAUUUUUCAGCGUCUGAGGAAUGUCUUUUAGCCAUAGGGAUAGGCUACUAGAAUGUUAACCGAGCUGAAAGUCAGGCUUAGGCCUGGUAUCCUAUUAAUUAUUUACCAAAAGAAUUCAGUAUUAUAAUUGUAACAUAAGCGUAAAAAACUUAUAAAACAACUUUUAACAACGGAUCUCUUGGUUCUC
rnacentral:misc_RNA from 1 species